ensembl:lncRNA
GCAGGAGAAUGACGUGAACCCGAGAGGCAGAGCUUGCAGUGAGCUGAGAUCCGGCCACUGCACUCCAGCCUGGGCGACAGAGCGAGACUCCGUCUCAAAAAAACAAAAACAAAAACAAAAACACAGUAAGAACAAGUAACAAAGAAAUCCAGUCAAUUAUGGGAGAAGUUUCUGCAGUUCAACAAGAGGAAUCAAAUGACCUAUAACAAAACAGCAACUCAGACUGUGAUGUCAUGAAAACCUGUUUUCCAACACCAGAGGAAGAACUUUCAGAUGCAAGCAUGUUUCUGAGGAAAUACUUACAUACUGAGGGAUUAAGACAACAUCAUGUCUGCAAAGCACUUGAGUAAAUAGUACAAAAAUAUCAAUUCUGUAUGUGAAUGUGUGCAUAUACAUGUAUGCAUAUAUAUACACACACACAUAAACAAAUAUGCACAUAUACACACAUACUAUCCAAGAUCAGCCUUAACCUUCUCCUGAUCUUGACUACAAUUUUAGACAAAUUUCUUCCUAACUGUAGUUCCCCGGCCUCCCUUUUCUUACAGUAUUUACUUUAGAAAACAUGCAGUUAUAAAUUAUUUCUCAGCCUCUUUGAGGUGUAAAUCUUUUCCGAUCUCUUGCCAGUUUUACAGCUCAGUAAUGUCUUUUUCAAGGACCCAGAAGUCUUCUCUUUGAAAUAUAACCAAGAAAGAUUACAUUGAAGAAAUCUGAGUCAAAACUAGCUAUCUAUACAUUCUUUGUCUCUUUCUCACAAUUUUUUCUGUAAGUCAGAAAUUAUUUUUAUUUUAUGAAGGUAAAAAUCCCUCCCUUCCUGAGUUUAUUCAUUAGUUAGAAAAUUGGUAAAGAAAAGAAUCAAGUACUUCUCCUGCAAACUAUUUCUUAUACAAAAUGUAACAAAGAGUAACCUAAUAAUUGAUGAGGUGAAGUCAUUAUUUAUGAAAGUACUUCAGCCAAUAAAUGAAUAGGGAAUGAUUGAAUUAAACUUUCAACGUUUUGUGUCAUGAAUUAAGGGAGCUAAUUAAUGAUCAUCAGUUGCUGCUGACGUUACAUAAAAGAGACACUAGAUAGUAAGUGCCUCUAAAUGGAACUACAGUACUCUUAUUAUGAAAUAGUAGGGCUUUUUCCCCCUCAUAAAAUUAUUCCAACUGGAAUUUUAUCAAGUAUCUACCUUGCUAUCAAUACACAGAAUAUAUAGAAAAAAGAAGAAGAUGUUGAACCACAUACAGAGGUGCAAUCAGUAAAUCAAGACUGUGGAAAACCCUAAAAGACAAAUGACUCAAUGCAUGCAAGCAACAAAAACAAUAGCAAAAACAAAGGUAAAAAAUAUUACUAGUCACAAUAGUGAAUCCCUGUAUAAUUUACUUAAAAAUAGGAAACGUACUGAUUUAAAUGUACUUAAAAAUCAGGGAAAUGUACUGACCAAUAAAAUCACAUGAUGUCUGAUAUUUCACCUUGAUUGGGGAGUGAGUCCAUACUUGUUGAAGUUGGGUGAUGGGCACGUGGUAGUUCACCCACUCACUCAUGAUAGAUAGAUACACACUCACCUUGAUUGGGGAGUAACUUGAAGCUGGGUGAUGGGCACAAGGUAAUUCAUUAAGCUAGUGUGUCUAUAUUAAUUAACGUUUACAUUUUUUGAUAACAAAAAUUCAAAUAAUGUAAAAACUCUUGUGUCUACAUUAGUCACUUGGUGCAGAGAACAUAAUUGAAGAUCUAUUCUACUAAUUUCAUCAUGGUCAGAAUAAGAUCAUGGCAUGAAGCUGAACAAUGAAAGCAAA